CAUUCACGGAGAGUUUGAUCCUGGCUCAGGACGAACGCUGGCGGCGUGCUUAACACAUGCAAGUCGAACGAUGAAGCCC
rnacentral:rRNA from 1 species